UCGAACAGAGAACGGCGCCAGGUGCUUAAUGGCUGUCGCUCAGCUCGUGUCGUGAGAUGUUGGGUUAAGCUCCCGCAACGAGCGCNACCCUUGGUCCUUANUUGCUACGCAAGCAGCACUCUAAGCGAGACUGCCGGUGACAAACCGGAGGCAAGGUGGGGAUGACGUCAAGCUCCUCAUGGCCCUUAUGGGUAGGGCUUCACACGUCAUACAAUGGUCGGAACAGAGGGUUGCCAACCCGCGAGGGGGAGCUAAUCCCAGAUUACCGAUCGUAGUCCGGAUUGCACUCUGCAACUCGAGUGCAUGAAGCUGGAAUCGCUAGUAAUCGCGGAUCAGCAUGCCGCGGUGAAUACGUUCCCGG
rnacentral:rRNA from 1 species